AAGCGACACACACUGAAUAAUGAAGUAACUGAAGAUAAACUCAACAAAUGAGUCUCCAAGUUGAUAACUUGAAUAUUCGAAGUGUUGCACCAGUUAUUAUAUGUAUUUGACAACUUUCUACGUAGAAGCUAGAAAAACACCGAAAGAAAACUUGGCGAUGAGAAAGUUCAUUUUAUGAGGAAAGAGAAACUUUAUGGCACGAGUGGUUUAUGUCCAAAACGAAACAACUCACUCCAUAACCUACCCCAAGACGACCAUUUGACAAUUUGUCGUCCAUUUUAGAACGUUUUGGAGAAUGUGAAUGUAUAUUUUUAUAGUAUAAGGCAACAGCGAAAAGUGGCGAUUGAGCUAAAUGUAGGAAAUUAAUUGCAUCUUAAAACACAUCUUGAUAAUG